rfam:Pteropus alecto contig10940, whole genome shotgun sequence.
GGUUCCAUAGAGUAGUGGUUAGCACGUCUGCUUUACACACAGAAGGUCUUGGGUUCGAGCCUCAGUGGAACCA